rnacentral:rRNA from 1 species
GCAACGAGCGCAACCCUGCUGCCAGUUGCCAACGGGUGAAGCCGGGCACUCUGGCGGACUGCCAUCGACAAGAUGGAGGAAGGUGGGGAUGACGUCAAGUCAUCAUGGCCCUUAUGUCCAGGGCGACACACGUGCUACAAUGGCCGGCACAGCGGGAGGCGAGGCAGUGAUGCCAAGCGGAUCCCUUAAAGCCGGUCUACAGUUCGGAUUGAAGUCUGCAACUCGACUUCAUGAAGCUGGAAUCGCUAGUAAUCGCAGAUCAGCCAAGCUGCGGUGAAUACGUUCCCGGGCCUU